UUUAAAAUUUAAAGUCUGGUCUGCUCAAUGAAAAUUAAAUAGCCGCAGUAUUUUGACUGUGCAAAGGUAGCAUAAUCAUUAGUUUCUUAAUUAGAAACUUGUAUGAAUGGCUGGAUGAGAAAUAAUCUGUCUCUAUAUAAAUUUAAUUAGAAUUUUAUUUUUAAGUUAAAAAGCUUAAAUGUUUAUUAAAGACGAGAAGACCCUAUAGAGUUUAAUUUUUAUUAAUAUAUAAUUUUUAAAGUAUUAAUUUUUUAUAUAUUAAUAAAAAUUUUAUUGGGGUGAUAGGAAAAAUAAUUUAACUUUUUCUUUUUAUAACAUUAAUUUAUGAUUUGUUGAUCCAAUGUUUUUGAUUAUAAGAUUAAAUUACCUUAGGGAUAACAGCGUAAUUUUUUUUGAGAGUUCUUAUCGAAAAAAAAGUUUGCGACCUCGAUGUUGGAUUAAAAUUUAAGAUUGGCGUAGAAGUUAAUCUUUUAAGUCUGUUCGACUUUUAAAAUUUUACGUGAUCUG
rnacentral:rRNA from 1 species